rnacentral:rRNA from 1 species
CCCUUAGAUGUUCUGGGCCGCACGCGUGCUACACUGAGUGGAUCAGCGGGUCAGGUUGCGCGAAAGCGUUUCCUAAUCUUUAAAUCCGCUCGUGAUGGGGAUUGACGGUUGCAAUUUUCUGUCAUGAACGAGGAAUACCUUGUAAGCGCGGCUCAUCAUCCCGCGCUGAAUACGUCCCUGCCCUUUGUACACACCGCCCGUCGCUCCUACCGAUUGAGUGGUCCGGUGAGGCUUUGGGAUCUGAGCGGAAAGAGCGUUUCGCUGUUUCUGCUCGGAAAACUCAGUCGAACCUUAUCAUUUAGAGGAAGGAGAAGUCGUAACA